rnacentral:rRNA from 1 species
AAAUUGAAGAGUUUGAUCAUGGCUCAGAUUGAACGCUGGCGGCAGGCCUAACACAUGCAAGUCGAGCGGUAGCACAGAGAGCUUGCUCUCGGGUGACGAGCGGCGGACGGGUGAGUAAUGUCUGGGAAACUGCCUGAUGGAGGGGGAUAACUACUGGAAACGGUAGCUAAUACCGCAUAACGUCGCAAGACCAAAGUGGGGGACCUUCGGGCCUCAUGCCAUCAGAUGUGCCCAGAUGGGAUUAGCUAGUAGGUGGGGUAACGGCUCACCUAGGCGACGAUCCCUAGCUGGUCUGAGAGGAUGACCAGCCACACUGGAACUGAGACACGGUCCAGACUCCUACGGGAGGCAGCAGUGGGGAAUAUUGCACAAUGGGCGCAAGCCUGAUGCAGCCAUGCCGCGUGUGUGAAGAAGGCCUUCGGGUUGUAAAGCACUUUCAGCGGGGAGGAAGGCGNAAGGUUNNUNNNNNNNNGAUUGACGUUACCCGCAGAAGAAGCACCGGCUAACUCCGUGCCAGCAGCCGCGGUAAUACGGAGGGUGCAAGCGUUAAUCGGAAUUACUGGGCGUAAAGCGCACGCAGGCGGUCUGUCAAGUCGGAUGUGAAAUCCCCGGGCUCAACCUGGGAACUGCAUUCGAAACUGGCAGGCUAGAGUCUUGUAGAGGGGGGUAGAAUUCCAGGUGUAGCGGUGAAAUGCGUAGAGAUCUGGAGGAAUACCGGUGGCGAAGGCGGCCCCCUGGACAAAGACUGACGCUCAGGUGCGAAAGCGUGGGGAGCAAACAGGAUUAGAUACCCUGGUAGUCCACGCCGUAAACGAUGUCGAUUUGGAGGUUGUGCCCUUGAGGCGUGGCUUCCGGAGCUAACGCGUUAAAUCGACCGCCUGGGGAGUACGGCCGCAAGGUUAAAACUCAAAUGAAUUGACGGGGGCCCGCACAAGCGGUGGAGCAUGUGGUUUAAUUCGAUGCAACGCGAAGAACCUUACCUGGUCUUGACAUCCACAGAACUUUCCAGAGAUGGAUUGGUGCCUUCGGGAACUGUGAGACAGGUGCUGCAUGGCUGUCGUCAGCUCGUGUUGUGAAAUGUUGGGUUAAGUCCCGCAACGAGCGCAACCCUUAUCCUUUGUUGCCAGCGGUCNGGCCGGGAACUCAAAGGAGACUGCCAGUGAUAAACUGGAGGAAGGUGGGGAUGACGUCAAGUCAUCAUGGCCCUUACGACCAGGGCUACACACGUGCUACAAUGGCAUAUACAAAGAGAAGCGACCUCGCGAGAGCAAGCGGACCUCAUAAAGUAUGUCGUAGUCCGGAUUGGAGUCUGCAACUCGACUCCAUGAAGUCGGAAUCGCUAGUAAUCGUAGAUCAGAAUGCUACGGUGAAUACGUUCCCGGGCCUUGUACACACCGCCCGUCACACCAUGGGAGUGGGUUGCAAAAGAAGUAGGUAGCUUAACCUUCGGGAGGGCGCUUACCACUUUGUGAUUCAUGACUGGGGUGAAGUCGUAACAAGGUAACCGUAGGGGAACCUGCGGUUGGAUCACCUCCUUA